rnacentral:rRNA from 1 species
GAUGAACGCUGGCGGCGUGCCUAAUACAUGCAAGUCGAGCGAACAGACGAGGAGCUUGCUCCUCUGACGUUAGCGGCGGACGGGUGAGUAACACGUGGAUAACCUACCUAUAAGACUGGGAUAACUUCGGGAAACCGGAGCUAAUACCGGAUAAUAUAUUGAACCGCAUGGUUCAAUAGUGAAAGACGGUUUUGCUGUCACUUAUAGAUGGAUCCGCGCCGCAUUAGCUAGUUGGUAAGGUAACGGCUUACCAAGGCAACGAUGCGUAGCCGACCUGAGAGGGGGAUCGGCCACACUGGAACUGAGACACGGUCCAGACUCCGACGGGAGGCAGCAGUAGGGAAUCUUCCGCAAUGGGCGAAAGCCUGACGGAGCAACGCCGCGUGAGUGAUGAAGGUCUUCGGAUCGUAAAACUCUGUUAUUAGGGAAGAACAAAUGUGUAAGUAACUAUGCACGUCUUGACGGUACCUAAUCAGAAAGCCACGGCUAACUACGU